GAUGAACGCUGGCGGCGUGCUUAACACAUGCCAGUCGAACGGUGAAGCAGGAGCUUGCUCUUGUGGAUCAGUGGCGAACGGGUGAGUAACACGUGAGCAACCUGCCCCUGACACUGGGCUAAGCGCUGGAAACGGAGUCUAAUACUGGCUAGGUGAUGUUCCCGCAUGGUCUGCAGCUGGAAGGAAGUUCGGUUGGAGAUGGGCUGGCGGCCUAUCAGCUUGUUGGUGAGGUAAUGGCCCACCAAGGCGUCGACGGGUAGCCGGCCUGCGAGGGUGACCGGCCACACUGGGACUGAGACACGGCCCAGACUCCUACGGGGGGCAGCAGUGGGGAAUAUUGCACAAUGGGCGGAAGCCUGAUGCAGCAACGUCGCGUGAGGGAUGACGGCCUUCGGGUUGUAAACCUCUUUUAGCAGGGAAGAAGCGAAAGUGACGGUACCUGCAGAAAAAGCACCGGCUAACUACGUGCCAGCCGCCGCGGUAA
rnacentral:rRNA from 1 species